UACGUAGGGUGCGAGCGUUAAUCGGAAUCACUGGGCGUAAAGAGCUCGUAGGCGGUUUGUCGCGUCUGCCGUGAAAGUCCGGGGCUCAACUCCGGAUCUGCGGUGGGUACGGGCAGACUAGAGUGAUGUAGGGGGAGACUGGAAUUCCUGGUGUAGCGGUGAAAUGCGCAGAUAUCAGGAGGAACACCGGUGGCGAAGGCGGGUCUCUGGGCCGUAACUGACGCUGAGGAGCGAAAGCGUGGGGAGCGAACAGG
rnacentral:rRNA from 1 species